UACGGAGGAUGCGAACGUUAUCCGGAUUUAUUGGGCUUAAAGGGUGCGUAGGCGGACGCUUAAGUCAGCGGUAAAAUUGCGGGGCUCAACCUCGUCGAGCCGUUGAAACUGGGUGCCUUGAGUGGGCGAGAAGUACGCGGAAUGCGUGGUGUAGCGGUGAAAUGCAUAGAUAUCACGCAGAACUCCGAUUGCGAAGGCAGCGUACCGGCGCCCUACUGACGCUGAAGCACGAAGGCGUGGGUAUCGAACAGG
rnacentral:rRNA from 1 species